rnacentral:miRNA from 1 species
UUCCACUAGGCGGAAUUUUGCGCGCGGAGCGGAAUUUUUCUUUGUCUUGUGAUUUCUCGGGUGGAACUAAUUAGAACUGAGUCAAAGAAAAAUUCCGUUCCGCGCGCAAAAUUCCGCCUAGUGGAA